AACGAACGCUGGCGGCACGCCUAAUACAUGCAAGUCGAACGAGAAAGUACCUUCGGGUGCGAGUACAGUGGCGCACGGGUGAGUAACACGUAGGUGACCUGCCUAUUGGUUUGGGAUAACAGGGAGAAGUUCCUGCUAAUACCGGAUAAGUAGAUCAAUUUUGGAAAAAGAUCUAGAAAGAUGGCCUCUUUACAAUGCUAUCGCCGCUAGAAGGGCCUGCGGAGCAUUAGCUUGUUGGUGGGGUAAUGGCCUACCAAGGCUUUGAUGUUUAGCCGGUCUGAGAGGAUGGUCGGCCACACUGGAACUGAGACACGGUCCAG
rnacentral:rRNA from 1 species